UACGUAGGGGGCGAGCGUUGUCCGGAGUUACUGGGCGUAAAGGGCAUGCAGGCGGUCAGACGCGUUUUGUGUGACAGCGGGUGGCUUAACUACCCGAGGAUACGAAAGACGGUAGGACUUGAGGACUCGAGAGGGACACGGAAUUCCGGGUGGAGUGGUGAAAUGCGUAGAGAUCCGGAGGAACACCGAAGGCGAAGGCAGUGUCCUGGCGAGUGACUGACGCUGAGGUGCGAAAGCCAGGGGAGCGAACGGG
rnacentral:rRNA from 1 species